rnacentral:lncRNA from 1 species
GUUUUCUUCUGCAGAUGGGAUUUUCCAAAAGGAGCAGAAAGUCAGUAGGAGAAAAGUUGGAGCUGUACAUCCUCAAUGAGUUGCUACUUCUGUUAUACACAGAAAAUUAAAAGUUGAAUGAAACCCGCAACUAAGAAAUACCAAGUUCAACUAAAUUAAUAAAAUGUGUGCUGUGGGCUGAAGAUGUAUAUUCUGGCAUUCCUCCUUUCCUCGAAUGUCCUGCCAAGGCAUUUCUGCCUGAAUACACUGAGACCAAGGAUGGCAUAUUAGAAAAAAAUUUCUUUUCCAAGCUAGAUGAAUCACUGCUUCUUCUCUGAAUUUCAGCUCUCCGUGACUAUGGUGGAGAAGCUGUUGACAAAGUGUUGUAUGCAGGGGCCACCUUUGACUCUCUUAUCCUUUUCUUUAUCUCCACCUUAUACUCAUCUAUAGUUCUAUGAACUCUAUCUUCCUCUCCCUAUUGUUGGAAAUUCUGAUUCUGAAUACUAAACCAGAAUUAGACGUGGAAGUCUGGUAAAGAUUAUUACCUUUAUUAUUGCUAAAACUGGGUUGGAAAAUGAAGCCUGAAUUGAUGGUCAAAAUGAGGCUUCCCACUGCUUUACCCAGGUUUGAAUCUCAGGAUUCAUCUGGGGAAACCAUGGUACAGCCUACACUAUGUAGCAGACAGCACAGGGAACAGAAACUCAACUUACACACCUGAGGAGAAAUCCUGAAAACAGGGAUCUCUAAGUAGACAUGGGCCUGCUGACUUGCCUCUGAAAGGCAGUCCCUGGACUCUGACACGGGUUUGUUAGUGUGUGAUGGACUCCAGUGGAGAAGGGCAAUGACCCCUCCUUCAUGCGGGUCUGUUCUCAAAGGCAACUAGAGGCAAAGCCUGCACAGUGGAGCCGUUUCCUUUCCCCUGUGCUGUCCAUUGGGUCAAUCAGUUCUCCUCCUGGGAGCAGAGUGAGCAGGUGGGUUGGUGAAGUGGUGGAGAGGAGGUCUGAAGCCACCUUCCAUACUUUUUUGGUGGUGUUUGUAUUUUAUGUGUUGUUGAUGGGAAAUGUGGAGAGAAGGAAAAAGAAGUGCUUUUCCAUGUUAUUCUCCUCAAUCAUCAGCUUAAUCAGGCCUUCGAGAUAUCUACAUUGAAUUGAUGACUGUCUGACUGCACUUAAAAUCCAUUGGAAUAAAUGUUCUCUUAAAAAAAAGAUUAUGUCACCCCCUCAGUUAAAAUUUCCCUAUUGGUUUUCCAUAGUUGUUUGGAUGUAAUCCAAAAUCCAUGCUGUCUUGCCAUGGCAUUCUAGCCUUUUUAUACCCAAGUCCAUGAUCAACUACUCAGUCUGAUUUGUCAUUACACUCGCUGUCAACUUUUGCUCCAGGCUUAUCGAACUCCUUGCAGUUUUCCAAGCAUGUAUGUCUUUGCCUACCCCGUUGCCUUCAUUUUUGCUGCUCCCUUCCCGGGAAAUACAUUCUCUUGCUUUCUUUAUCUGGAUAGAUUUCACUGAGCCUUCAGAACUCAGCUUAGGCAUAAUUAGCUCCUAUUGGACACCUUCACUGAAUUAUUGAGGUGUGCCACCUCAAGUGAGGUGAGGUUUCUUCCAAUGUUCCUUAUAGUAUUUCCUGCUUGCCUACUGUGAUAGGGUCUUCUUAUCUGCAUAUUCAUAUUGAAUGUAGUCCCUAGCAUAUAAUAAACCAUUGAUAACUAUUGCCAGCAUCUCUCACAUUGCUUCCUUCCUUAAACAGAGCCAUAGUUUCAAUAUUUGUUUUGCUCUCAAAUGUGGAUUACAAUAACAAUUGCCUAGAUUUGUAUAGAAAUAGGCUUACCAGUUGUUUAUUAAAAUCUUGAUAGCUUUGCGGAUAUUGGAAGAAUGUUUUUCUCACUAAAUAAUAUUUUUGUUUUUCUGUUAUCAUUCCUUCAAAAUAUAAAUAAGAUGAUUUUAAUAAACUUUUUCUAGUGUUUAUAGUGAUCAAAUUGUAAUAAAAAUUACUGUACAUCAUUAUUCAAAUUCUCAGAUAUUCAUUUUUAACAACUUAUAAACCUUCAUGAAGAGAGAUUUUUACUCUGACCCAAGUGGUCUGGAUGGUGUAAUUGUGAAAUGGAUUUCUUACAAAUUUAGUGACAUGCUGCAUCAAGCAGUAAAAAUGACGGAUGGAUCAUAUGGGAAACAGAAAAUAUGUUAUGUCAUCCUGUUCUGAAAGGCAUCCCGAAACCUUAUCAAAUAGAUGUUCAAUAUUUUACACAAAAGAAAAGUUGCAUGCCCCAUGAGAGUUAAAGAGUUGAGAGCUAAUUUGUUACGUACAGGUUGAAGUAGAAAGUGACUGCAUGGUUAGCCUUUUAACCUAUCUUUAAAUCCACUGGGAAGAAAAGCCAAAAUGAUUUUGGGGAUAAAUUGACUUCUUGUUUAUCUUUGUGCUCGAAUUUGUCCAAUCAAGUAAAAAUAUUUGCAUGGUGUGCAUUGUGAUAUGAUUAUCUGGGGACUGAAAAAUGUGGUAUGAAUUAUAAAGAUUGGAUCUCGAAUUCUUAAUAAAACCUUUACUGUUUCACAGUUUUUUCCUAACUUACAAAAAGCUUUUAUAUUUGUAAGAAGACAGUUU